rnacentral:rRNA from 1 species
UACGGAGGGUGCGAGCGUUAAUCGGAAUUACUGGGCGUAAAGCGCGCGUAGGCGGUUUGUUAAGUCAGCUGUGAAAGCCCCGGGCUCAACCUGGGAACUGCAGUUGAUACUGGCCGACUAGAGUACGAGAGAGGGAGGUAGAAUUCCAUGUGUAGCGGUGAAAUGCGUAGAUAUAUGGAGGAAUACCAGUGGCGGAAGCGGCCUCCUGGCUCGAUACUGACGCUGGAGGUGACGAAAGCGUGGGGAUCAAACAGG